GGAUGGUUAGCUCAUUUGGCUAGAGCGCCUGAUUGACGUUCAGGAGGUGGCAGGUUCGAAUCCUGCACCGUCCACCA
rnacentral:tRNA from 1 species